rnacentral:rRNA from 1 species
GGUUUCCGUAGGUGAACCUGCGGAAGGAUCAUUAUUGAAAUAAAUCUGAUAAGUUGCUGCUGGUUCUCUAGGGAGCAAUGUGCACACUUGUCAUCUUUGUAUCUUCACCUGUGCACCUUUUGUAGACCUGAGUAUCUCUCUGAAUUGCUUAUAUUAUAGCAUUCAGGAUUGAGAAUUGACUUCUUGUCUCUUCUUAUAUUUUCAGGUCUAUGUUUCUUCAUAUACCCCAAUGUAUGUUUAUAGAAUGUAAUUAAUGGGCCUUUGUGCCUAUAAACCUUUACAACUUUCAGCAACGGAUCUCUUGGCUCUCGCAUCGAUGAAGAACGCAGCGAAAUGCGAUAAGUAAUGUGAAUUGCAGAAUUCAGUGAAUCAUCGAAUCUUUGAACGCACCUUGCGCUCCUUGGUAUUCCGAGGAGCAUGCCUGUUUGAGUGUCAUUAAUAUUAUCAACCUUUUUGGUUGGAUGUGGGUUUGCUGGCCUCUUGAGGUCAGCUCCCCUUAAAUGCAUUAGCGGACAACAUUUUGCCAACUGUUCAUUGGUGUGAUAAUUAUCUACGCUAUUGACAGGGAAGCAAGGUUCAGCUUCUAACAGUCCAUUGACUUGGACAAGCCUCUUUUAUUAAUGUGACCUCAAAUCAGGUAGGACUACCCGCUGAACUUAAGCAUAUCAAUAAGCGGAGGAAAAGAAACUAACAAGGAUUCCCCUAGUAACUGCGAGUGAAGCGGGAAAAGCUCAAAUUUAAAAUCUGGCAGUCUUUGGCUGUCCGAGUUGUAAUCUAGAGAAGCAUUAUCCGCGCUGGACCGUGUACAAGUCUCCUGGAAUGGAGCGUCAUAGAGGGUGAGAAUCCCGUCUUUGACACGGACUGCCAGGGCUUUGUGAUGUGCUCUCAAAGAGUCGAGUUGUUUGGGAAUGCAGCUCAAAAUGGGUGGUAAAUUCCAUCUAAAGCUAAAUAUUGGCGAGAGACCGAUAGCGAACAAGUACCGUGAGGGAAAGAUGAAAAGAACUUUGGAAAGAGAGUUAAACAGUACGUGAAAUUGCUGAAAGGGAAACGCUUGAAGUCAGUCGCGUUGUCCAGGGAUCAAUCUUGCUUUUGCUUGGUGUACUUUCUGGUUAACGGGUCAGCAUCAAUUUUGACUAUUGGAAAAAGAUCAAGGGAAUGUGGCAUCUUYGGAUGUGUUAUAGCCUUUGGUUGCAUACAAUAGUUAGGAUUGAGGAACUCAGCACGCCGCAAGGCCGAGUUUUUUUACUACGUACGUGCUUAGGAUGCUGGCAUAA